rnacentral:lncRNA from 1 species
GUUUGAGAUGACUGAAGGCUCAGGCACAGAACCUCCCAACAUCAUCCUGAAGGCAGCCCACACAGUCACAGGACAGAGGGUGAAGCUCUCCCUUUCAAUGGUUCAUGAACAAGAAGGGGAGAAAAGUAGACUCUUUAGAUUGGUGAUAUAAACAAACCUUAAGAGCAUUUUAUAGAUCCAGAAAGAUGGUCCUGUAAUGGUGGGAUUUCACCCUUGAGAAGCCAUAAAGUUAUUUUGGGGCAACAUUGCCUGCUCCGUACCCAAUGCACAGCCCAUCAAUAAAUCACUUGCUGACCGUCC